CCAGCUGAGCUAUCCCGACCAU
rnacentral:tRNA from 1 species